UGGGAGUAAGCAGGGUCUGAGAAAACUUUCCAGAGAAGGACUUGAGCUCUAUGAGAGCUUGUGAACCCUUCCCUCUAAUUAAUUUUCUGUAUAUGCCUUGCUUUGCUUUAUGGUGAGAGCUGUGGUGGAGAACCUUGGGUGACUUUCAUCACCAUGGAUCCUGAAGCCUCAUGGCUUGGUAGCUGUUCCAGCAUGAAGCUUUCCCUGAUGAUCAUCCUUCAACCCAUGAAAAUUGGGGGCUGCAGCAUGUCUCCUGAAAGGACUUAAGAGGCCACUGCACAGGAUCUGCAUAUUCAUUGUUCCCAUUCAUCAAGGAACUCAGACCUCCCAUCCCUCCUGGGGAGAAGGAUGAAGCACUGAAAUUUUUCAAAGCUGAUUUUUUUUAUUCUGGAAACAUACACCUACUUCUUUCUCACUGAUAAUGUUAAAAUACAGUUAAAAUUCUUUUCUCAAUAAAGACAUUUCCCUGGAUCAGAGCUAUUACAUCCAGCACUUUGU